UUCCUUGAACUUUUGCCGCUGCAGAAAAUGGAUAGGCCGGUGCAAGAUUUUUAUGAAUGUCUUUAGUGACAGGAUAGAGAAUGUCAUGAUGAGCCUGUUUCAAGAUAAGUCAAAUAGAGCAAUACAUAAAUAAUAACUUUUCAAAUUAAUAUAAAUAAGCUAAAAGGCAUAUUAUUGAAGGAUAUAUAUGUACAAAAAUCUAAUUAGUUUAUCUACCCCGCCACUAGGCAGUGACCUUGUGUCCUGCUUUUUUUUUU
rnacentral:lncRNA from 1 species